UUGGGUUUUGUGGUUCGAGGCUCGAGGUUUCUGGGAACGGCUGCCGAGAGAUGCAGUAAACAUUGAAGGCUCUGUAUUGUCGUAUAAAGUGUACACCAUUUCUGUAGCCUAAUUCGUCUCGGCUUUACUCGCCGCUGCUCAGAGAAAAACGUGCCAAUAGCAGCGUUAACCUGGUGGAUUUCCUUCCAUAGGAUUUAACAUAGCAACCAGAUUUACAAAAAAAAAACUGCAGGAAAUCUCAGAGUGUUCCCGAAGCUAAUCUACAUGCAAGCUCGGUAGCCUGGCUAGGUCGAUCAUCGCCGUCUGUAAAAUGGGCGACAAAUCCAUUUGCCAUGACCCGCAAGCUUUCGUCGAUGUUUGGUGUGCACGUACUAGAGCAUUCUAUGUGACGCAUAACGAGUUCCUGACCGGAAGUUCAAACGAUCGAUCUACGUUCUUAGAAGACCAUCUGGUGCGCGCGUGUUGCACAUUCGCAAAUGUAACUCCCAGUGUUAUGGCCGGGUUUCAUGGUCGCGAUGUAAAAAAUGGAGUUUAUCGCUUAAUUGGCCUGAGCGAAGGCCGUCGAUGUUAGUGUGACAAGCAGCUUAAUCAGCAGCGUCGAAGACCAUUUAUAAGCAGACGGAGAUAGCGACUGUUAGCUGCUAGCCAGAUUCGGGCCAUGCUACUACGAACGAGCUAUCUUAAACGGACUGGUUUUUUUUUAAUGCAGCGGAAUAUAUGGCUUGGCGGA